rnacentral:rRNA from 1 species
AGAGUUUGAUCAUGGCUCAGAUUGAACGCUGGCGGCAGGCCUAACACAUGCAAGUCGAACGGUAACAGGAAGCAGCUUGCUGCUUCGCUGACGAGUGGCGGACGGGUGAGUAAUGUCUGGGAAGCUGCCUGAUGGAGGGGGAUAACUACUGGAAACGGUAGCUAAUACCGCAUAAUGUCGCAAGACCAAAGAGGGGGACCUUCGGGCCUCUUGCCAUCGGAUGUGCCCAGAUGGGAUUAGCUUGUUGGUGGGGUAACGGCUCACCAAGGCGACGAUCCCUAGCUGGUCUGAGAGGAUGACCAGCCACACUGGAACUGAGACACGGUCCAGACUCCUACGGGAGGCAGCAGUGGGGAAUAUUGCACAAUGGGCGCAAGCCUGAUGCAGCCAUGCCGCGUGUAUGAAGAAGGCCUUCGGGUUGUAAAGUACUUUCAGCGGGGAGGAAGGGAGUAAAGUUAAUACCUUUGCUCAUUGACGUUACCCGCAGAAGAAGCACCGGCUAACUCCGUGCCAGCAGCCGCGGUAAUACGGAGGGUGCAAGCGUUAAUCGGAAUUACUGGGCGUAAAGCGCACGCAGGCGGUUUGUUAAGUCAGAUGUGAAAUCCCCGGGCUCAACCUGGGAACUGCAUCUGAUACUGGCAAGCUUGAGUCUCGUAGAGGGGGGUAGAAUUCCAGGUGUAGCGGUGAAAUGCGUAGAGAUCUGGAGGAAUACCGGUGGCGAAGGCGGCCCCCUGGACGAAGACUGACGCUCAGGUGCGAAAGCGUGGGGAGCAAACAGGAUUAGAUACCCUGGUAGUCCACGCCGUAAACGAUGUCGACUUGGAGGUUGUGCCCUUGAGGCGUGGCUUCCGGAGCUAACGCGUUAAGUCGACCGCCUGGGGAGUACGGCCGCAAGGUUAAAACUCAAAUGAAUUGACGGGGGCCCGCACAAGCGGUGGAGCAUGUGGUUUAAUUCGAUGCAACGCGAAGAACCUUACCUGGUCUUGACAUCCACGGAAGUUUUCAGAGAUGAGAAUGUGCCUUCGGGAACCGUGAGACAGGUGCUGCAUGGCUGUCGUCAGCUCGUGUUGUGAAAUGUUGGGUUAAGUCCCGCAACGAGCGCAACCCUUAUCCUUUGUUGCCAGCGGUCCGGCCGGGAACUCAAAGGAGACUGCCAGUGAUAAACUGGAGGAAGGUGGGGAUGACGUCAAGUCAUCAUGGCCCUUACGACCAGGGCUACACACGUGCUACAAUGGCGCAUACAAAGAGAAGCGACCUCGCGAGAGCAAGCGGACCUCAUAAAGUGCGUCGUAGUCCGGAUUGGAGUCUGCAACUCGACUCCAUGAAGUCGGAAUCGCUAGUAAUCGUGGAUCAGAAUGCCACGGUGAAUACGUUCCCGGGCCUUGUACACACCGCCCGUCACACCAUGGGAGUGGGUUGCAAAAGAAGUAGGUAGCUUAACCUUCGGGAGGACGCUUACCACUUUGUGAUUCAUGACUGGGGUGAAGUCGUAACAAGGUA